GCAAGUCGAGCGGGCAUAGCAAUAUGUCAGCGGCAGACGGGUGAGUAACGCGUGGGAACGUACCUUUUGGUUCGGAACAACUGAGGGAAACUUCAGCUAAUACCGGAUAAGCCCUUACGGGGAAAGAUUUAUCGCCGAAAGAUCGGCCCGCGUCUGAUUAGCUAGUUGGUGAGGUAAUGGCUCACCAAGGUGACGAUCCGUAACUGGUCUGAGAGGAUGAUC
rnacentral:rRNA from 1 species